rnacentral:lncRNA from 1 species
UAAACACACACACACACACACACAUACACACACACACAAACAAAUAAGCCAGAAUAGGACAAAACAAAAAUUCAAAAGAAAAAGCACAUGAAACACAUUAGACACAGGGACUCACACAUUUUCAUAUGCAGAAGUCUUGAAAUUGGAAACUAUGAUAUACCAACAAAAGACCUGUAAGGAAAAACAAAAAUGCCCAAAGUUCCAAAACUACCACUGAGUUUUGUGUCAGCCGUCUACUGCGUGCGGGGCAUGGGGCCUGCUGUUAAGUGUGGUUUGUAUACCCAUGGAGAGUCCACUGGAGAAAAUUAAUUUUUCUUUAGUGAGUGGUUGUCAGUCAGAGAGAAUUUCUGGAAACUGUGUUUAUUUCCCCUCUCAGUGCUAGGACCCCAUCCGGCUUAGAUCUAUGCAGACCCUGUGCAGUUUAAGAAAAUAUGUUAUGUAUGGGUGUUUGGGCUGCAUGUGUGUUUGUGCACUACUUGUGUGUUUGGUGUGUGAGGUGGCCAGAAGGGGAACUGGAAUUACAGAUGGUUGUGAGCCACCAUAUGGAUUCUGGGAAUUGAACCCAGGUUCUCUGGAAAAACAGCCAGUGCUCUUAAUUACUGAGCCAACAGCCCAGUGUCUUAUCCUUCUGACCCAUUGUGUCCUCUCCUUACAGGCCCCCCACUCACAAGGUACUUCUGGGAGGAGUUACUGAAGGUCACAAUCCCUGUGCAGCAGACAGAGAAGGCUACAUAGGAGUAAAGGACCAGGCUGUGUAGCCCGGCCUCCAGGCACACCCUGUUGAACUAGGCCUGUUUCUAUGACUUGGGUGCUUAUGUUUAGUGUUUUACCUGUCAACUUCCUUGGUCAACUUCCAAGUGUCAGGCCUUCAAAUCUGUCCAUCCAGCAAGCCUUCCAGAUACACUGUCAUUGGUUUUAUGGAUAGAGACAAAUGUAAUAGAGGCCUCUGAGCUUGGGGAGCAGGAGGCACUGACAGCACAAGAAAGGCAGCCAGAACAUGUUCCUAUAACACAGGGCAGUAAAUACUAUAAAAAGUCAUUGCUUGUUCUGUUCUGUUCUGUUUGAGUUGGGACUCCCUGUGUAGCUCAGAAUGGCUUUGAAUUCAGGAUCUGGAACUCACUAUGUAGGUUAGGCAAGCCUUGAACUUGUGGUGACUCUUCUGCCCUGCCACUUGAUGGCUGAAGUUACAGGCAUAUGCUAUCACAUUCUCCCAACCCUGACAGAAUCUUAUGGAAUCCAGGCUGACCUCAAAUUCACUUCAUAGCUGAGGAGGACUUUGAUUUCCUGACCUGUGGUGAGAACUCUGGAAUUUUGGUUUCUUUAAAAAAUACAAAAAUAUUAUAAGAACAUGUUUUCAUUUCAGUCCCAGGUGUGGGGAUAUGAGGCUGCUUCGGACUGUCUGCAGCAGCUGACUGUGAUAUGCCUAGUGCUCUAGCAGAGGUGUGGUUUUGCCAGUUGCAGAUGGAUUCUGUGAUUGUGUGAUGCUUGUAAUUCUGGGCACUUUUUAGAGGGUAAUAAAUGCUAGCACCCCAAUAGCCAAGGGGGUUGGUUGGAGUUUUGUUAGUAGUCAUGCUC